rnacentral:rRNA from 1 species
GACAGCAGUAGCCACGGUAAUACGUAGGGUGCAAGCGUUAAUCGGAAUUACUGGGCGUAAAGCGUGCGCAGGCGGUUAUAUAAGACAGAUGUGAAAUCCCCGGGCUCAACCUGGGAACUGCAUUUGAGACUGUAUAGCUAGAGUACUGCAGAGGGGGAUGGAAUUCCGCGUGUAGCAGUGAAAUGCGUAGAUAUGCGGAGGAACACCGAUGGCGAAGGCAAUCCCCUGGGCAUGUACUGACGCUCAUGUACGAAAGCGUGGGGAGCAAACAGGAUUAGAUACCCCGGUAGUCCCUGUCUCUUAUAC